rnacentral:rRNA from 1 species
UAGCAAUACGAGAGUGGCAGACGGGUGAGUAACACGUGGGAACCUUCCCUAUGGUUCGGAAUAGCUCAGGGAAACUUGAGGUAAUACCGGAUAAGCCCUUACGGGGAAAGAUUUAUCGCCAUUGGAUGGGCCCGCGUCGGAUUAGCUAGUUGGUGAGGUAACGGCUCACCAAGGCGACGAUCCGUAGCUGGUCUGAGAGGAUGAUCAGCCACACUGGGACUGAGACACGGCCCAGACUCCUACGGGAGGCAGCAGUGGGGGAUAUUGCGCAAUGGGCGAAAGCCUGACGCAGCGACGCCGCGUGGGUGAUGAAGGCCUUCGGG